rnacentral:rRNA from 1 species
UACGUAGGUGGCAAGCGUUAUCCGGAAUUAUUGGGCGUAAAGCGCGCGCAGGCGGUUUCUUAAGUCUGAUGUGAAAGCCCACGGCUCAACCGUGGAGGGUCAUUGGAAACUGGGGAACUUGAGUGCAGAAGAGAAAAGCGGAAUUCCACGUGUAGCGGUGAAAUGCGUAGAGAUGUGGAGGAACACCAGUGGCGAAGGCGGCUUUUGGUCUGUAACUGACGCUGAGGCGCGAAAGCGUGGGGAGCAACAGG